CUGGCCCUCUCUGCCCUUCCGCC
rnacentral:miRNA from 15 species